CCGUUCACUCAACUCGUCAGUCGAUUAUUGAAUUUCGAAUGACAGUUCAGUGCGCGAGA
rnacentral:pre_miRNA from 1 species